rnacentral:rRNA from 1 species
UGCGAAGGUCCCAAGCGUUAUCCGGAUUUAUUGGGUUUAAAGGGUGCGUAGGCGGACUAUUAAGUCCGUGGUGAAAUCUCCAUGCCUAACAUGGAAACUGCCAUUGAUACUGAUGGUCUUGAGUACAUUUGAAGUGGGCGGAAUGUGUCAUGUAGUGGUGAAAUACUUAGAUAUGACAUAGAACACCCAUUGCGAAGGCAGCUUACUACGGAUAUAUUGACACUGAGGCACGAAAGCGUGGGGAUCAAACAGG